GGGGGCAGGAGGAUCCUCCAGGGUGUGCAGGGCAUUGGGAGAUCCCAUUGUAGAGUGACUCUUCGUGUUGGAAUGGUUUGCUGGUGCAGGGUGUACGGCUCCAUGCAGAUCUCAGGCCUCUGUGGAGGCUGUGCUGGGCAUGAGAACACAGCCGGUGGCUGAGGACCAUUGGGCAGGUCAGAGCUGUGGCCCCGACCACUGGAACAGUGCUCGUUUGUCCAGGCAGGGCUGCAGCUCCUUAGGAUACAGCUGUCACUGUUGCUUUGGCUGUGAAAGGGAGGAUGCCAGCCAGCCGGUACAGAGGCAGCAACGAUCCAGGCUCAGCUGGUAAUCACAUGCUGGGCCUGAAGGUCUCCAUCAGUCGUGCUGUCUCUGGGCCUUUCCUUUCCCUUCAUGCAGGGCGGUGUGUAGGGAUGGAGGGACUCUGAGCUGAGCUGGAUCUUUCAUUCUUGUGCUUCCAGGAGAGUAGCUGGGAACCCUGCUCUUCUGCAGCCUUCCUACACCAGUCCUUUACCACCCAUCACCCUCCAUGACCACACCACAUCCCCUCCCCCUCUGCUGUUGGUCUCCCAGGUCUUCCUUCCUCACACUGCCCUCCUCCGGGCUUUCGUGGGCGUUUUCUGCUCCUCCCUGCCCUGAGCUCCCUGCAGCAACCCCGUCCUGCUGCACUGGGAGGCACUGCCGUUGAAGAUCCUAGAAUGGCUCAGGUUGGAGGGGAGCUCAGAGCCCACCCAGUGCCACCUCCGGCCAUGGGCAGGGCUGCCCCCCACCAGCUCAGGCUGCCCAGGGCCCCAUCCCACCUGGCCUUGAGUGCCUGCAGGGUGCCCUCCCUGCCUGCAGUGCUGCAUUUCUGAAUCGGAGUUGUGUUGUGCGAUGUCAGCUGCGUGCCACGAGCUGUCCACAGGCUGCCCUGCAUUUCUGAUAGAAGAGGCUGAGGUUCUUAUUGCUAGGCUGGUGGAAGCUGUUUGAACAACUCAGGCUCUUCUGGAUGUGCUUCACCCUCCCCAUCCUCCAUUUUGUAAGGUCUUCCUGCAUGCAGCACUGGUGUUCUUUCCUGUGUUUGUUCACUGGAGGGGCUGUAGGAUUAAUUUUAAGCCAUACUAUUUUCUAUACAAGGAAAGUUUUUUGUUGGUCUGUUCCAUUGGCCCCGUUGAGAUCUCCGCCUGCCGGUACGUUCCCUGCAGACCCUGGGCAGCCUGACAGCAGGAGGGAGACCUGUCCCCCCACUGAUAAAUAACUAAGAAGUAAAGCCUUUCAACUCAGCAGGCCUGUAUACAAAAGGGAAAUCCUGGCAUUAUUUCAGAGCUGCGGACUUCCAGAGCAGCAGUCGGGGCUCCUCUGCAAAACCGUGCUGCCCCGAAGCCAGCCAGCCCUACCCCGACUGCUGUGCUGGGUGGGCCGUGGGGAGAGGAGGUGCUGCAGGGCAGCUCUGCCUGGACGUUGCUCCCAGCUGUGCCCGAGAACAGCACUAACCCUGUCAGACCGGGGCGCAUUGCCGUCAGCUGGUUGCCCGCUGCUGUGAGCUGUGUCUGUUCUCAUGUCUCGUAGUUUAUUGCUCAGCAUCUCAGCUUGAGUUCUGUGUACUGACUCCACCUAAUCACAGUAAAAGGUUUGCCCAUGUUUUAACCAUGACGUUGCAAUGUUUUUUCAGCUCCAAAAAGUAAUCAUUGGGAAACAGCAUCUUUCAGUCGAAUAAUCAAGCACCUGGAAUUAGCUUUCACAUUGAGGUAAUGGUGACUGACCUGUUCUCUAUCAUCCCAUGGAGAAACUUCCCCAGUCAUUUUGUACCAUUAUAUAAAUAUAUAUAUAAAUAUAAAUAUAUAAAUACAAUAUGUGAAGACAUCUUAUUGGUUUUUAUUUGAAACAAUUUUUAGGCUUGUUUUUGGGUAUCUGUGCUGCCUGUAAUGUAUUGACCUGUUUUAUAGGUGCCUUUUUAUUAAAAAGACAAAUUUCAAAACCUGACCUCGUGCCUCUCGUCCGUGCUCUGUGUGCUGUCCUGCAGGGCUGCUCGCUGCAGUUGGAACUUCCUCGAGGUGAAAUUCUGCUCUCUGCAGUCAGCCGGGUGGUGCUUCCCAUAGGCUGCAUGGAGGGGAUGGCCCAGCCGUGCAGCUCUGUGUGGUUCCAUCACCUAUGGAGGGUUUUGCUGCCUAAGUCUGGGCUUUGUUGUUGUUCUGUCCCAUCCUCUGCUGUGCCAGCACAUCCUCUAGCCUGUGGGUGUCCAACCUUUUGGCUUCCCUGGGCUGCAUGUACGCAGCUCGCUCCGAAAUUAAUGCCUCCUAUAUAUUUCCGUGGAAACUGCAUCUGAUACAGUGAGCACAGUAACUUUGCUUGAUAGAGCAAAUUCUCAGCUACAACAUGCUAUUUUUUUUUCAACACAGUCCCCACUGUGAGCUAUGCCUUCUGUUCGGUCUCCAGAAACAUUCACCAAGCGUCAAUGGAUAUCAGUGGGUGAUGUUUUUUCUGCAUGUAGGAAUUCAAUGACACACCUUUGCAUCAUCUGCACUUCCAUGUCAGACACCGCUGUGUCAGACUGCCCCUCUGCUGCCAUCUGUCACACGGCAACAACAUGGAACGGGAUAUUGGUGGGAAGGUUCCACCUCUACUGCCGUACCACCACCAUCCGCCUCUGAUGUGGUGGGCUGAUAUCAUAAAACAGGAGGCAUUACUUUUGGAGCAGCCCUCCUAAAAGACAGGAUGUAGUCAAUGUAUGUAAGUAACAACACUUAUUUUAAUCUUUAAUAUUUUUAUUAAAAUGGUAAAAAGAGCAGCAAAGCCAUCAAACUAGUGGGAUCUGUGGCCUUGCUGUUGUGAAGCUAACGCAUCAGCGUGGUUCGGUGGCAGCGGUCUCACGGUGCUGGUCAGAGAUGUUGGAUGAAAUAUUACUCUUCUUUCUGUGCCUCGUCCCUCAACGUGGUUGCUCACAAAUGUCCAUGCUGCCAAAGCCCCAUGGCCCGGGCUCAGCCCACAGAGUGCCCGCAGUGCAGUGCAGGGCAGAGCUGCCACCACGAUGUGGGGCUGUGGGUUGGACAUGGCUGCUCCCACCUCUGUGGCUUGAGGCAGUUCUUCAACUGCUGUUAGUGAGAAACAGCCUCGUUUUCCUCUGCUCCCUGCUGCUGCAGGUCCUGUCCUAGCGCUGUUUGAGCACACCUGCUCCCAGCCACCCCUCCUGGGCAGUGGUGGGUGACGGAGCGGGGCCCAGCUGCACGCACUGGGGGCUCGGGGUGAGGACGCAGGUCCUCUUCUUGAUAAGGAAAAUGAAACCCCGUGUGAGUCACAGCGAGCUGCACGAAGGCGUGCGGGCAGCCCCAGUUCUGCAGCACUCCCAGGCACACGUUCAUUCAUGCAUUCACUGGCU
rnacentral:lncRNA from 1 species